rnacentral:lncRNA from 1 species
AAUGAAAGAUCAUUUAUAUGCAAUUAUAAGGAACACUGGUUUACAGUUAGAAAAUUAGGAAAACAGUGGUUUAACUUGAAUUCUCUCUUGACGGGUCCAGAAUUAAUAUCAGAUACAAGUGCACUGUGGCAGUGCCGCUUGCUCAGGACCCAGCCCUGCAGCCCUUCUGUGUGUGCUCCCUCGUUAAGUUCAUUUGCUGUUAUUACACACACAGGCCUUCCUGUCUGGUCGUUAGAAAAGCCGGGCUUCCAAAGCACUGUUGAACACAGGAUUCUGUUGUUAGUGUGGAUGUUCAAUGAGUUGUAUUUUAAAUAUCAAAGAUUAUUAAAUAAAGAUAAUGUUUGCUUUUCUA